AUAAUUUUUUCUAGAAUAAACUUGUAUAGGAGAAUUCGAACAUAGAAAAAAACUAAGUGCAUACGUUUCACUUGUUAAAAUCACACAAUUAACUGUAUUCCGAACCACUAAAAUACUAAGAAAUACUACAAUGCUUUCUUCCAGUAACAAUACUCCUUCAUCAACUAAUAACCAUAAUGUGCAACCCUACCCUCUCAAAAGACUGCUCAAAACUCAAUAAAUUCUAUCCAACACCAGGAAUAACAGACUUCACUUCAACCAAUCUGAAUUCAUAGAAUUCCUAUAAUCAAAGACUUUCUCUGUCAAAACAUACACACACAACUCUCAAUAAACAACAAUUAUAAUCUUCCAUCCGUAAUCAAUCUUCCAAUAACUUUUCAUAUAAUUCAAUCACUCACUACUCCAAUUACAUAAUCAAUAACUCAUAAAUCAAUCUCUGAUUUAUUCCACAGACUCACUUCUCAAUAUUCAAAAACUAUCCAUAACCCUUCAACAACAAAAAAAACAAAAAAAACAAAGAGGAAGCAUCAAGCUUAACCUCAACUCAUGACUAUCACAGUCUGGCACCCCAACAAACUUCUACAACUCCUAUAUAAUUGAUACUGAUUUCCUUAUUCUAACUGUAAUCUUGUAAUUAACUAUUUUUAAUAAUUAAAUAAACCAUCCGUCCUACUAAACUAACUAUUCUAUGGACUAUUAAUCUAUUUUACUAAUAUCUUAUAAAAACGAACUAAUAUCUAUUCUACAUAGUCUCACUCCUAUGUAUGCAACGUCCUCACAAAUAUACAAUUGAUUCCUAUCUAAAAACUACUUAACAAAACUCUAU
rnacentral:lncRNA from 1 species